rnacentral:rRNA from 1 species
GAUGAACGCUGGCGGCGUGCCUAAUACAUGCAAGUCGAGCGAACAGAUGAGGAGCUUGCUCCUCUGACGUUAGCGGCGGACGGGUGAGUAACACGUGGAUAACCUACCUAUAAGACUGGGAUAACUUCGGGAAACCGGAGCUAAUACCGGAUAAUAUAUUGAACCGCAUGGUUCAAUAGUGAAAGACGGUUUUGCUGUCACUUAUAGCUGGAUCCGCGCCGCAUUAGCUAGUUGGUAAGGUAACGGCUUACCAAGGCAACGAUGCGUAGCCGACCUGAGAGGGGGAUAGGCGACACUGGAACUGAGACACGGUCCAGACUCCUACGGGAGGCAGCAGUAGGGAAUGUGCCGCAAUGGGCGAAAGCCUGACGGAGCAACGGCGCGUGAGUGAUGAAGGUCUUCGGAUCGUAAAACUCUGUUAUGAGGGAAGAACAAAUGUGUAAGUAACUAUGCACGUCUUGACGGUACCUAAUCAGAAAGCCACGGCUAACUACGUG